ensembl:snRNA U6 U6 spliceosomal RNA
GUGCUUGCUUUGGCAGUAUAGGCACUAAAGGUGGAAUGACACCGAGAUUAACAUAGCCCGUGCAUAAGGAUGACAUGAAGUUUAUGAAGCAUUCUGUAUUUUC